GGGGAAAGUCAAGACCUGAAGGUGUGGGCAAACAGGUAGCAUGUGGAAGUUUGUAGGAGGUGGAGAUUGUGGGGUACAAUUACAUUUGAAGAGGAGAAACUGGGACUACCUGAGAACUAUAAAGGAGUCACAUACACAAUGAUAAAUACUGUUUUUUGCCAUCCUGCUUUUUCUGUAAAAGUGUCCUACUUUUUUCCAUUUUGGACUGUGUACUGGAACGAGAGCUGGUGGCACCUCCCAGCUUGAAGCAGUAAUAACAAACACCAAAUACAUGGUUUCCAUCAUCAGCACCCCACUAUAAAAAUUGUUCCAGCACCCAUGAUUCUGGAAGAGGGAGGGUUUGGGAAAGGAUGACCUCAUACUUUCCACUUCCGCAUCAGCCCAUCUUAUCCCUCAGCAAAACAUCCCCUUCAUCUGAUCACCAUGUCCCAGUUCUUAACAUUGAAAAUAUGAUCCAUCUGGUGUCUGUCUUUAUGGGUUACAGACAAGGAUUGCAUUUUAAAAUAUUUUCAUGCUUGAUUUUUACAUUCAGCAUAUCAGGUCUAGUUUACUAUGCUAUUUCUCUAGGACUCUACUGAUCAACAGAAAAUGAGGGGCAUUACAAGAGACAAGUGAUUGAAGUCUGAACAUGUGAGAGAGAAUAAAGUCCUGGAUUGCCUCAUGGGAAGCAAAGGACAUAUGCUGAUGCUCUACAGAUACUGAAUUGCCGCAGAGAUGAAUUUUUCUUGGACAGCAUUCUGUUGAGUAGGUUCUGGAAUCAUAUAAAACAGCCACUUGCAAAAAAAAGUAAAAUGAUGGAGUCGACAGAGUCUGUCAAAGGGUAUGUCUUCACUACUGGCCCGAUCGGCGGGCAGCAAUCGAUCCAGCAGGGAUCGAUUUAACGUGUCUAGACUAGACCCAAUAAAUCACUUCCCGAGCGUUCUCCCGUCAACUAUUGUACUCCAGCUCAGCGAGAGGCGCAGGCAGAGUCGACGGGGGAGUGGCAGCAGUCGACUCACCAUAGUGAAGACACCGCGGUGAAGAUGAUGCAGCCCUCAAAGCUUGUCUCUUCCUUGAGAUCAUCUGUUUCUUACUCAAAUCCGAGGAAUGCUUGGAAGCAGAAUGGUGUACAUCAGCCACCAAAGUAAAAGUCCUCCUCUGAUCCAAAAAUGGACCUGGAAUCUGAACAGGGGUCAAAGCUGUAUCUGAACACCUGGAUGGCACAGGAUCUGGUGAAAUGAAACCCCAUGACUUUCUUUUAACUCUAAUAUAUUAUUUCUUUCAACUGUUAUGAAAUGACCUAAGAGUCUGUAGUGUGCAUGGUGAGAGAUAUCAAAAGGAGCAUGAAUUUAUUUUUAAUUUGGGAGUCUUCAAUAUUUCUCAAGAGGAACAUUCACAAGAAAUAAAAAUUAAAUAUUUCUUGCUUCACAGAAUGUCUUGAACAUGUUGUGAAAUACUGGUAUGUUGACAACACAGCCAGUGCGUGAAUUAAGAUAUCCCAUCAUGAAAAUUUUGAAUAGGUGUUGACAUACACUGUGAACUUUCUGUAUUUCACAGACACUGUGUAUUUCAGCUUCAUGCCCUUUAGUUCUUUUCUUAUUCCUUGUACACUCCAUCUGGAUGCUUUCAGUUUAAUUGUUGGAAAAGUUCUGUCUCAAGAGAGCACAUCCUUCAUAUAGCAUGGUGCCAGUUGCUGUUUCAGGUGGUCUGCACCUGUUUUUACUCUUCCCCUCACACUUAAAUAACCUACUCCUCCUUUGGCAAUGAUUAAUUCAAACUGUAUAAAAGUCUGUUGUCAUCUAAUGAAAUGUGUUAAACAAAACAGCUAAUUUUUCAGUUGCCUCAAGCUUCUAGUCAACUGUAAAUAUUUCUGUCACUUUCAGUAGAACUUUAAUAGAUACCUCAGCUGACAGAAAAGAUGCAAAAUCCCAAUUUCCCUUUGAAUAAUAUGGGAAGAGUUUUUUUCAAAAAAAAAAGAAAAAGAAAAAGGAAAGUAAUAGGUACCACAACUCCACAACUCUGGAGACCAAACUCUCUGUAGAAAAAAUAGAACAUAUCCCACAGGGCUUUGCCUAAGUGCCUAGAGAGUGCUAGAGAGCAGUUUCCAGAACUGGGCAACUAAUUCAGAGCAAAUAAUUUUUUCAACAAAUGUAGCUUCUUUUUCAGCUCCAAGUAUAACCAUGAGCUUGUCAAACUAUCCCCUGAUUCCAUUAUUCACAUUUAUACAACAACUUUUUCUUACUAGAUUUUUACUUUGUUGUUCAGUUGUGAAUAGUUCACCAAGAAUAUCUGAUACUUGAUAUUCCAAAUUUGUGCUGUGACCGGCCAAAAGAUACAGUAUUGUUUCUGUUUAACUCAGUCAGGGAAAAGCUGAGGCUUUAAACCUCUCAGGGUAAGGGAGCAGUUUUGACAAAGGUAGGGAACAGGACUACGGUACUAAAUAAAAUUUUAAAACUUUUCUAGGAAAGCACAGGAAUCUUUGCUAGAAAAAAUAGGCUACUGCAUGAUUUAUUGGUUGGCUUUAUUAUCUGGGUGGGAUUUUUAAAAGUGCUUAUCAUUGACCUAAAUGUACCCCAAUGACUUCAUUAGGAGCAGAGGUAGGCUUUGGCUUUUAAUAAACUUACCCUGGGUACAAGUUUAAAUUAAUUUUUCUCUUCAUAUAGUCACACAUAAUAACAGCAGGCUCAUGCAUGAUUCUAGUUGUGAAGGUAAUGGCCAAAUAUUCUUGUCUAGCUUAUUUAAUUGUCUCAGUGAUAGGGUUCUGGGGAAGAGUUUGGGAAGCCUAUUCUCUGCUGGGUUGUGCACUCACCUGUCCCACACAAAAGAUACCAUCUCCAUUUGAGCUCAAAUAUUUUCUGCAAAUAUUUGUAGAAAAUUUUUCUGAGAAAUUUGCCCAGCUCAGCUAGUUUCCUUUGCAAGAGCCCACCAAAUAAUUUCAAAUAAACUACAAAACAACCCUUAAAUAUGGUUUUCAGCGACAUGUAAUAUACUGGCUAGUAUGUAUAACCACAACAGUCAUCCACCAAAGGGAACUUCAGAACUGUUCAAUUCAAGGAUUAAAAGCCCCUCUAUAAUUGAGAGUUUAUGCUGUUUCUCCUCUAGCAAGCUAAAAGUUAUGCACGUGUUUAAAUACCCUGAAGAAUCAGGAACUAUAUGCCAGCAGCCGCAGUUUUAUUACUCGCUACUGACCCUACUAAAUGUGAAUUGCCAGCAUGAAGGUGAAAAUCUCUGUAACCUAUCACUAAUCCUCUGUGCCAUCUGGUGUCCUGACACCUCUGUGGUAUUUUUAUUAACAUAAAAUGAUAAUCUGUAACAUAUAUUAUACAGAUCUGCAUAUACAGAUUGCCAUACCAUAACAACAACUGGGCUACAUGUAUUUUAAAGCUAUUUUUCUCUUCAAGAGUAACUCAAUCAAAAUUAUUUUGAUUAAAGCAUCUGUUUCUGACAUCAUUCUAUAUGAUGGGAGAAGAAAAUGCCUGAAAGUUGCUUAUUUUAAAGUGUAUUACAGCAGUCACUGAUAACAACUAGGAUAAACUCUUAUUGUUUCUUGUGCUGAGAUCUUACAUUAGUAACUCCAGCAGCUGAAUUUUAGUUAGUUAAUUUUCAUUUUGUUACUCCCCUAAUUGUGUCAGAAUGCUCAAAUUUGUAUAAGUUAUAAAAAGGUGUAUGUCACAAAAAAGCACGUUCUAUAUAUGUCUUCAAUACUAAUUUCUUCAUUGUCUGAAAAUUUCCAAGUUACAGCAAAGCUGGCAUUUUAUGGCGUGUACAGCUAUAAAUCAUUUUUAAAUCAUGAUGAUAUUACUCAAAACAGAUGUGAAAACAUAUGUUUGCCACGGUUGUAUAAAGUGCUUACUUGUCAUACUUA